UUGGUGAGGUAAAGGCUCACCAAGGCGACGAUCUGUAGCGGGUCUGAGAGGAUGAUCCGCCACACUGGAACUGAGACACGGUCCAGACUCCUACGGGAGGCAGCAGUGGGGAAUUUUGGACAAUGGGCGCAAGCCUGAUCCAGCCAUGCCGCGUGAGUGAAGAAGGCCUUCGGGUUGUAAAGCUCUUUCGGCAGGAACGAAAUGGUUCGUGCUAAUACCACGGACUGAUGACGGUACCUGAAGAAGAAGCACCGGCUAACUACGUGCCAGCAGCCGCGGUAAUACGUAGGGUGCAGGCGUUAAUCGGAAUUACUGGGCGUAAAGCGUGCGCAGGCGGUUUCUUAAGUCAGAUGUGAAAGCCCCGGGCUUAACCUGGGAACUGCGUUUGAAACUGGGAGACUUGAGUGUGGCAGAGGGGGGUGGAAUUCCACGUGUAGCAGUGAAAUGCGUAGAUAUGUGGAGGAACACCGAUGGCGAAGGCAGCCCCCUGGGCUAACACUGACGCUCAUGCACGAAAGCGUGGGGAGCAAACAGGAUUAGAUACCCUGGUAGUCCACGCCCUAAACUAUGUCAACUGGUUGUCGGGGGAUUAACUCCCUUGGUAACGAAGCUAACGCGUGAAGUUGACCGCCUGGGGAGUACGGCCGCAAGGUUAAAACUCAAAGGAAUUGACGGGGACCCGCACAAGCGGUGGAUUAUGUGGAUUAAUUCGAUGCAACGCGAAAAACCUUACCUACCCUUGACAUGCCAGGAACCUCGCAGAGAUGUGAGGGUGCCCGAAAGGGAGCCUGGACACAGGUGCUGCAUGGCUGUCGUCAGCUCGUGUCGUGAGAUGUUGGGUUAAGUCCCGCAACGAGCGCAACCCUUGCCAUUAGUUGCCACAUUCAGUUGGGCACUCUAAUGGGACUGCCGGUGACAAACCGGAGGAAGGUGGGGAUGACGUCAAGUCCUCAUGGCCCUUAUGGGUAGGGCUUCACACGUAAUACAAUGGUCGGUACAGAGGGUUGCCAACCCGCGAGGGGGAGCUAAUCCCAGAAAGCCGAUCGUAGUCCGGAUUGUUCUCUGCAACUCGAGAGCAUGAAGCCGGAAUCGCUAGUAAUCGCGGAUCAGCAUGUCGCGGUGAAUACGUUCCCGGGUCUUGUACACACCGCCCGUCACACCAUGGGAGUGGGUUUCACCAGAAGUAGUUAGCCUAACCGCAAGGGGGGCGA
rnacentral:rRNA from 1 species